GACGAACGCUGGCGGCGUGCCUGACACAUGCAAGUCGGACGGUUCUUGUAUCUUCAAGCUUGCUUGCAGGUGCAAGGAUAGUGGCGGACGGGUGAGUAACGCGUGAACAUCUACCCAUUGGAGGGGGACAACCCGUCGAAAGGCGGGCUAAUACCGCGUAAGCCGCGAGGUGAGAGGCUGCCUAUUGGUGGCCGCCGAUGGAUGGGUUCGCGUCCUAUCAGCUGGUUGGUGGGGUAACGGCCUACCAAGGCGAAGACGGGUAGCCGGUCUGAGAGGAUGGCCGGCCACACUGGAACUGAGACACGGUCCAGACUCCUACGGGAGGCAGCAGUGGGGAAUAUUGGGCAAUGGGGGAGACCCUGACCCAGCGACGCCGCGUGAGGGACGAAGGUUUUCGGGUUGUAAAGCACUUUUAUCGGGAACGAAACAUUGUCGGUGAAUAUCCGGCAAGACUGACGGUACCCGAGGAAUAAGCACCGGCUAACUUCGUG
rnacentral:rRNA from 1 species